GCCCCUUCCUCGGGAGCUGCCCCAGCUCACACCACAGGGAAGGUGGGAAUCUCACCUGGCUUCUGCUGCCUCCAUCCAAGUGCAGGGGAAACCACAGUAACAAAUACUGCUCACACUCAUCCACAUCCCCCAACUUUAAUUUUAUGCUCCUGUGGAGGAUUUUAUUUAAAGUAAUGUUUAAAAGUAAUUUAUGUAAAUUACCUAAGAGCAGAAGCAGCAAUGUAACAUUUCUUGACAGGUAGUCCUAUUAGCAUUCUUUUAAAUUGUGGAUAUGGAGGACAAAAACUUGGAAACAUGUAAAUGAUAGAAGAAAUGAGAUCCUUAUUCACAGUUACAAUACUUAGGGCUGAAGAUAAUCUCAGGAAAAAAUGCCAAAUGGAGUCCAAAGCAUAAAAUUAAGAGAAAAUUCAGAAGAGAGAAAAAGCAAAUGGAAAAAUACCAGGAAGUGGCGAGUGAGGACUUGUGAGCUUUACCCUCCUCCUCCUCCCCAGCCAGUGACCACCCCCAAGUCACCUGCAAUCCCUCUGGAAGCCAGGGGAAGAUUCACUGUGACUUAUCUGGGUUUUCCUCGUGUCCCCGGAGCAGCUGGCUUAGCUUGUUUGCAGGUUUGGAUGGCCAGCUCAGACAGCAAUAAUUUCAUUUUCCAGGUGUCUCCCCUAAGCACAAGUGACUCGCAUUUCAGUGCUGGCUUUGUGCUGGACCUGCAGCGUGACACACCCAGAACUCUCCACUCUCUCAGGAAAUCCAGCAAAAUUCCAUUGUGCUUCUCCAGAAGCCUGUGACACGUGAGCCUAGGACCAGAGGAUUUUUAUGCAGUUUUCAGCCUUAUUAUUUAACAAGAUCUCAGCAGAUGGCCCUUCCUGCAGCUGGCCACCCCAGGAAAGAACUUCACUGAAAGAACUUCACUGAAAAAACGUCACUGAAAGAGCUUCACUGCCCUGCACUGCCACUCUGUGACACAGAGGUGUUUGCUCUCAAAGGAGUGGAAAUGCUGGAAACGCAACUCAUUAGAAACAGAAAUGGAGGCUCAUUAACACAAAUGGUGUAAUAAUUUCUGUGAUCUUCUGAGCUCCUGAUGAACCAACAUUCAGCACCCACCAAAACAAAUGGAACAAUGAAAGGCAUUUGCCCAAAGAACUUCCACUUCAAGUACGCUUAUUUUUUUCUGAGAAAGCACUUGAUACUAAGCAGUGCCCUACUUUGGCAGGUAUAAAAUAAAACUGGUUAUUAAUUUUCAAUACUGAUGGCAAAAGGAUUAACUCAGCGUGUCUUUCAUUCAUUAAUCAUUUCAGAAUUAAAUAACCAAAUGCUGCUCUUAGAUUGCUUUUUGAAAGGAUGUAAAAAUAAA